rnacentral:rRNA from 1 species
AACGCGAAGAACCUUACCUGGGCUCGAACGGCUUUAGAUCAUCCUUGGAAACAGGGACUUCCCGCAAGGGACUGGAGUCGAGGUGCUGCAUGGCUGUCGUCAGCUCGUGUCGUGAGAUGUUGGGUUAAGUCCCGCAACGAGCGCAACCCUUGUCCUGUGUUGGCAUGCCGCAAGGCGCAACUCUCAGGAGACCGCCAGCGAUAAGUUGGAGGAAGGUGGGGAUGACGUCAAGUCAGUAUGGCCCUUACGGCCAGGGCUGCACACGUACUACAAUGCCCGGCACAAAGGGAAGCAAGACCGCAAGGUGGAGCAAAUCCCCAAAAACCGGGCCCAGUUCAGAUUGCUGUCUGCAACUCGACAGCAUGAAGCUGGAAUCGCUAGUAAUGGCGCAUCAGCUACGGCGCCGUGAAUACGUUCCCGGGCCUUGUACACACCGAUACUC